AGAGUUUGAUCCUGGCUCAGGAUGAACGCUGGCGGUAUGCUUAACACAUGCAAGUCGAACGGUGUCUUCGGACACAGUGGCGGACGGGUGAGUAACGCGUGAGAAUCUGCCUCUAGGUUGGGGACAACAGUUGGAAACGACUGCUAAUACCCAAUGUGCCGUAAGGCGAAAGAUUUAUUGCCUGGAGAGGAGCUCGCGUCUGAUUAGCUAGUUGGUGGGGUAAAAGCUUACCAAGGCAUCGAUCAGUAGCUGGUCUGAGAGGAUGAGCAGCCACACUGGGACUGAGACACGGCCCAGACUCCUACGGGAGGCAGCAGUGGGGAAUUUUCCGCAAUGGGCGAAAGCCUGACUGAGCAAUACCGCGUGAGGGAGGAAGGCCUUUGGGUUGUAAACCUCUUUUCUCAGGGAAGAAGAUCUGACGGUACCUGAGGAAUAAGCAUCGGCUAACUCCGUGCCAGCAGCCGCGGUAAUACGGAGGAUGCAAGCGUUAUCCGGAAUCAUUGGGCGUAAAGCGUCCGCAGGUGGUUUUUCAAGUCUGCUGUUAAAGACUGGAGCUCAACUCCGGAAAGGCAGUGGAAACUGAGAAACUAGAGUUCGGUAGGGGUAGCGGGAAUUCCCAGUGUAGCGGUGAAAUGCGUAGAUAUUGGGAAGAACAUCGGUGGCGAAGGCGCGCUACUGGACCGAAACUGACACUCAGGGACGAAAGCUAGGGUAGCGAAAGGGAUUAGAUACCCCUGUAGUCCUAGCUGUAAACGAUGGAAACUAGGUGUGGCUUGUAUCGACCCGAGCCGUGCCGUAGCUAACGCGUUAAGUUUCCCGCCUGGGGAGUACGCACGCAAGUGUGAAACUCAAAGGAAUUGACGGGGGCCCGCACAAGCGGUGGAGUAUGUGGUUUAAUUCGAUGCAACGCGAAGAACCUUACCAGGGCUUAACAUGUCGCGAAUCUUGGUGAAAGCUGAGAGUGCCUUCGGGAGCGCGAACACAGGUGGUGCAUGGCUGUCGUCAGCUCGUGUCGUGAGAUGUUGGGUUAGGUCCCGCAACGAGCGCAACCCUCGUCUUUAGUUGCCAGCAUUAAGUUGGGCACUUUAGAGAGACUGCCGGUGACAAACCGGAGGAAGGUGGGGAUGACGUCAAGUCAGCAUGCCCCUUACGCCCUGGGCUACACACGUACUACAAUGGUUGGGACAAAGGGCAGCAAACCCGCGAGGGUAAGCGAAUCUCAUCAAACCCAGCCUCAGUUCAGAUUGCAGGCUGCAACUCGCCUGCAUGAAGGAGGAAUCGCUAGUAAUCGCAGGUCAGCAUACUGCGGUGAAUUCGUUCCCGGGCCUUGUGCACACCGCCCGUCACACCAUGGAAGCUGGUCACGCCCGAAGUAGUU
rnacentral:rRNA from 1 species